rnacentral:rRNA from 1 species
GGUUGAUCCUGCCAGUAGUCAUAUGCUUGUCUCAAAGAUUAAGCCAUGCAUGUCUAAGUAUAAACAUUUUUAUACAGUGAAACUGCAGAUGGCUCAUUAAAUCAGUUAUAAUUUAUUUGAUGAUUACUUACUACAUGGAUAACCGUAGUAAUUCUAGAGCUAAUACAUGCGUUAGGUCCCAACUCUUGCGGGGAGGGAUGUAUUUAUUAGAUAAAAAAUCAAUGCGAGGUGGCAACAUCUCGGUUGUAGGUGAAUCAUAAUAACUGUUCGAAUCGCAUGGCCUCGUGCCGGCG